rnacentral:rRNA from 1 species
AUCUGUUGCCAUACCACCCUAAAAAUGCCCAAUCUCAUCUGAUCUUAGAAGCUAAGUAGGGUCAGGCCUGGUUAGUACUUGGAUGGGAAACUGAUUAGAAAUAUGAGGUGCUGUAGGCU